rnacentral:rRNA from 1 species
AGUGAACGCUGGCGGUAGGCCUAACACAUGCAAGUCGAACGGCAGCACAGUAAGAGCUUGCUCUUACGGGUGGCGAGUGGCGGACGGGUGAGGAAUACGUCGGAAUCUACUUUUUCGUGGGGGAUAACGUAGGGAAACUUACGCUAAUACCGCAUACGACCUACGGGUGAAAGCAGGGGAUCUUCGGACCUUGCGCGAUUGAAUGAGCCGAUGUCGGAUUAGCUAGUUGGCGGGGUCAAGGCCCACCAAGGCGACGAUCCGUAGCUGGUCUGAGAGGAUGAUCAGCCACACUGGAACUGAGACACGGUCCAGACUCCUACGGGAGGCAGCAGUGGGGAAUAUUGGACAAUGGGCGCAAGCCUGAUCCAGCCAUACCGCGUGGGUGAAGAAGGCCUUCGGGUUGUAAAGCCCUUUUGUUGGGAAAGAAAAGCAGCAGGUUAAUACCCCGCUGUUCUGACGGUACCCAAAGAAUAAGCACCGGCUAACUUCGUG